GUUCUUGGAGCUUCGGUCAAGUACGAGCUGUUCAAGGAAUCGGCGGAAGACUCCGCAUGUGAUGGCCGACUCCCGUGGCUGCCUACUGCACCGCUGCAUGAAAGAAGCUAAAGAUUGACCUUGGCCGAGGAAUUUUAAUGGAAAACCAGAAGUGGCAGUGGCUUCCAGAAGAAACCGAGGGCUCCCUUGCUUUCUCAGAGAGAAAGAGCAAAGGCACUGUGGCGCAUCGAAAACCUGCACAACUAGAGCAUCCCUGGUUCACCAUGCUGCUCUUUCAUCAAAGAGGAAGGUCAUCAUCCUCAGAGAAGCUUCAUGCACUGAAGCAUGCUUUCCACCAGAGGAGCAGGUGGGAAACGAGUUCUUCCAAGGGAGCGUCU